rnacentral:rRNA from 1 species
UGCCCAUGUCUGGGGAAUAACCCGUCGAAAGGCGGACUAACUCCCCAUGGUCUCCGAUGAGGACAUCCGAAUUGGAGUAAAGCUUCGCGGACAUGGAUGGGGAUGCGUCUGAUUAGGUAGUAGGCGGGGUAACGGCCCACCUAGCCUACGAUCAGUAGGGGUUCUGAGAGGAAGGUCCCCCACAUUGGAACUGAGACACGGUCCAAACUCCUACGGGAGGCAGCAGUGAGGAAUAUUGGUCAAUGGACGCGAGUCUGAACCAGCCAAGUAGCGUGCAGGAUGACGGCCCUAUGGGUUGUAAACUGCUUUUGCGCGGGGAUAACACCCUCCACGUGCUGGAGGUCUGCAGGUACCGCGCGAAUAAGGACCGGCUAAUUCCGUGCCAGCAGCCGCGGUAAUACGGAAGGUCCGGGCGUUAUCCGGAUUUAUUGGGUUUAAAGGGAGCGUAGGCCGUGAGGUAAGCGUGUUGUGAAAUGUAGGCGCCCAACGUCUGCACUGCAGCGCGAACUGCCCCACUUGAGUGCGCGCAACGCCGGCGGAACUCGUCGUGUAGCGGUGAAAUGCUUAGAUAUGACGAAGAACCCCGAUUGCGAAGGCAGCUGGCGGGAGCGUAACUGACGCUGAAGCUCGAAAGCGCGGGUAUCGAACAGGAUUAGAUACCCUGGUAGUCCGCGCGG